rnacentral:rRNA from 1 species
GACAGAGGGUGCAAACGUUGCUCGGAAUCACUGGGCGUAAAGGGCGUGUAGGCGGGAAGCUAAGUCAGGUGUGAAAUCCCCAGGCUCAACCUGGGAACUGCACUUGAAACUGUCUUUCUUGAGUGUCGGAGUGGAAAGUGGAAUUCCUGGUGUAGAGGUGAAAUUCGUAGAUAUCAGGAGGAACACCGGUGGCGAAGGCGGCUUUCUGGACGACAACUGACGCUGAGACGCGAAAGCGUGGGGAGCAAACAGG